CCACGACUGGUUCCCCCUAGAGUUUCUAACCGAGCCCCCAGCAGCUCCUCAGUUACAUCUCGGCUGUUCCCGCCCAGGCCCUGGACCCCACAGAAUUACCCAGGCUGGAGCCUCUGCUCAGUGGGAGUGAAAUACAAUGAUGAAACUCAUAGACUGGGCAGUAUUGAUGAAGCACAUGGAAGGACUUCUGUCUUUUUCACUGUGAGGGUUAAAACCAAAGUCAGAAGUACCUGCGCUUCAUCUGAAAUGCUGGAGUUGCCCUGGAGAAAGAAGACGGGACCAUUUCCUCUCUGUGUGAGUUGAAACGCCCUCCGCCCGCGCACUGCUGUUCCGGGGUACCGCCCGGCACAAUCGCGCGAGCCGGAGAACAGCUGUACUGAUCGGAGUCUAAAAGCGGAUGGCACAGCAGGAUCGUGUCAUCAAAUCUUCCAGCCCUAGGAGCGAGUGUAAGACGCGCGCUUUUCCCCCCAUUUGCAGGACCACAUCCCUGCCCUCUACUCACCCCGAACUGGAGGCGGGGCAUGCAAUCUGGACCUUCCAAAGGAGGCUACAUCACAGG
ensembl:lncRNA